CCCAGACAGCCAGGAUGUUGGCUUAGAAGCAGCCAUCAUUUAAAGAAAGCGUAAUAGCUCACUGGUCGAG
ncrna:50S RNA helix 42-44 from Escherichia coli (PDB 3DEG, chain G)